rnacentral:rRNA from 1 species
UUGAACGCUGGCGGCAGGCCUAACACCUGCAAGUCGAACGGUAACAGGAAGAAGCUUGCUUCUUUGCUGACGAGUGGCGGACGGGUGAGUAAUGUCUGGGAAACUGCCUGAUGGAGGGGGAUAACUACUGGAAACGGUAGCUAAUACCGCAUAACGUCGCAAGACCAAAGAGGGGGACCUUCGGGCCUCUUGCCAUCGGAUGUGCCCAGAUGGGAUUAGCUUGUUGGUGGGGUAACGGCUCACCAAGGCGACGAUCCCUAGCUGGUCUGAGAGGAUGACUAGCCACACUGGAACUGAGACACGGUCCAGACUCCUACGGGAGGCAGCAGUGGGGAAUAUUGCACAAUGGGCGCAAGCCUGAUGCAGCCAUGCCGCGUGUAUGAAGAAGGCCUUCGGGUUGUAAAGUACUUUCAGCGGGGAGGAAGGGAGUAAAGUUAAUACCUUUGCUCAUUGACGUUACCCGCAGAAGAAGCACCGGCUAACUCCGUG